AUGGAAUUUGUAUUUAUGGUCCUGGUGACUGGACCUUUUUUCCUGUCUCUCCCUUUCCCUCUUUCUGUCUCUCUCGUUCUCAACCUCUCUUUCCCUCUCUCCCUCUCUCAGCUCCAGAAGAGGAAAGAGCUCCAGGAGCAGCUGGAGGAUGUGAUCCAGGCCUAUGAGAAGAUCCACAUGGAGAAGAACAACCUCCAGAGAGACCUGGACAAAAUGACCAGUCUAGUGGAGAAGCACGCAGAGCAUAUCGUGGAUCUGGAGUCUGCUCUGAGACAGAGAGACAACUCGCUACAGAAGCUCAACACCCAGCUACACAGCAAGGACAUCCAAUACCUGCAGCUACAUAGCCCAGACAAUCACAGUGAGUCCCUAUUGGUGUGACAUAAGGCUUGAAACCCUUCUCACACACUCUAUGUUGGCGCUUGCAGGAUAGAUACCCUUCUCACUCUCUCUUUACUACUGGCACUUGUAGGAUAGAUGAUACUGUUCUCAGACUCUAUAUUGUCAGCCGGCACUUGCAGGAUCGAAUUAGAUUGUUAAUUUCAAUACACUAUCGUUCAGGAGCUGAUUUGGAUUAGUCAAUGUCCUCAUAAAAACAGUAGUGGUGCGUGGGUAAAAUCACUGAGGAAGCCAAGCGAGUAAAAAAGCCAUAUUACAACCUAUGUUGUGAUAAUUGCGUUGUUUGCUCUAUAACACAUUUGUCCAUAACCCUCGUGAUAUACAAUAAGGCCGUGACGACAAAAAGACAACAGUCACACAGUGGAGGAGUAAAUUCAACUACACCUGUGUUUGUUUCAUCACAAAACUGGAGAGUAGCAUCUGUCCGGUGAAGUCUGCGAAGCAAAUAAUGCAUGUAACAAACAGUUAUAUCCCCUGCAGCAUGGUCAAGCAAGUUCAAGUUUUCGAACAGUUUACUAAACAGCUAUUGAUUUAGAACCGCAAAUCAGCACAAAGACAACAGGAGCCCUUGCCUCCGCUAUUCCAGCACCAUUUCAACUUGAACAUUUAAACAAAUCAACAAGGUUAUACAUGCUUAGUUUAAUACAGUGAAGACAAACUUAAAGAUACCAAAAACAAUUUAGUCAAAUCAAUGUUGCUAAAUAUCUUGUGGCUGUCCACGGUAAAUGGCUAAACGGCCUAUGGCUCUGUCAUACAGUAGACUUUGUAGUUUUUGUUGUCAGAGGCUAACUAGCUAAAAUGCUUGCUACUAGACGAAGUUCCUCACAUGGACAACAAUGAACCAGUUAAGUUAGCUAGCUAGCUAACGUGAGCCUACUAGGCUACAUCUAGGCUACAUAUUGAACUUCAAUAAUCUCAGGCCAGUGGCGCAACAUAUAAAUGUAUCGUUAGAUCAGAAUUGCCGUCAUAAUCGUUGGCCUGUACAGAGAAUUAAGUCAAAUCCCCAUCUUCAUCCAUAGAUUAGAAAAGGGACAAUUUAGCAAAUUAGCUACUGCAGGACAUCAACACAAGCUGACCAGAAACAGAGAUGUUUUUCUGAAAAAUAUGUUUUGCUUAGGGAGUGAUUUGAUUGGUCUGAAGCCAAAUCCAAACUAGCCUCCCUUGGGGGGCAUUUUGCUGCACCAGGACAACCCACAGUUGAGCUCAGCUCAGCGCUAAUUGGCAAAUUAUUUUGUAUACAUUUUUUAUCAAGAGAGGCCAAAUUCUUGCUGGCAUCAAUCAAUCAAAUGCUACAGCGGCAACAUGUUAUACUCUUUUGGUCCAGACAGAUACAUGGGCUACUCAUACUGAGACAGAGGACAAAUGAUUUCCUCGCUCUAAUUUGUGAGAUUCAGCCACUUGCAAA
ensembl:lncRNA